CACGGUGGAUGCCCUGGCAGUCAGAGGCGAUGAAGGACGUGCUAAUCUGCGAUAAGCGUCGGUAAGGUGAUAUGAACCGUUAUAACCGGCGAUUUCCGAAUGGGGAAACCCAGUGUGUUUCGACACACUAUCAUUAACUGAAUCCAUAGGUUAAUGAGGCGAACCGGGGGAACUGAAACAUCUAAGUACCCCGAGGAAAAGAAAUCAACCGAGAUUCCCCCAGUAGCGGCGAGCGAACGGGGAGCAGCCCAGAGCCUGAAUCAGUGUGUGUGUUAGUGGAAGCGUCUGGAAAGGCGCGCGAUACAGGGUGACAGCCCCGUACACAAAAAUGCACAUGCUGUGAGCUCGAUGAGUAGGGCGGGACACGUGGUAUCCUGUCUGAAUAUGGGGGGACCAUCCUCCAAGGCUAAAUACUCCUGACUGACCGAUAGUGAACCAGUACCGUGAGGGAAAGGCGAAAAGAACCCCGGCGAGGGGAGUGAAAAAGAACCUGAAACCGUGUACGUACAAGCAGUGGGAGCACGCUUAGGCGUGUGACUGCGUACCUUUUGUAUAAUGGGUCAGCGACUUAUAUUCUGUAGCAAGGUUAACCGAAUAGGGGAGCCGAAGGGAAACCGAGUCUUAACUGGGCGUUAAGUUGCAGGGUAUAGACCCGAAACCCGGUGAUCUAGCCAUGGGCAGGUUGAAGGUUGGGUAACACUAACUGGAGGACCGAACCGACUAAUGUUGAAAAAUUAGCGGAUGACUUGUGGCUGGGGGUGAAAGGCCAAUCAAACCGGGAGAUAGCUGGUUCUCCCCGAAAUCUAUUUAGGUAGAGCCUUGAGCGGACACCUUCGGGGGUAGAGCACUGUUUCGGCUAGGGGUCCAUCCCGGAUUACCAACCCGAUGCAAACUGCGAAUACCGAAGAGUGAUACUCAGGAGACACACGGUGGGUG
rnacentral:rRNA from 1 species